UCUUGGGUAUAAGCAACAACCUCCAGGCAUGUCCUACUGAAUCCCAAUUUUUGAACCUCCUGUCAAUGUCCCAGGCAUCUUGUCACACAGGCCUUCUCACAAUCCGAAAUGACUUACAUCCAGGCCUGGACUGGAUCCUGGUUUGAGGAGGGCACCCUCCGUAAUUACAUUCAGACCUUUUGAGCUUCAGCACCUUUUACUGAGAUGCCCUUGCUCCAAUGUGACAAGAAAACCUCAGGUAAGAGACUUGGGGUCCAGAAAGAUUCAGGUCUCUACCCAAGGUCACCAAGUUGGAUAGCGGCCCAGUCAAAAUCAAACCCAGGGGUUACUACAGCGUGGUGUUGAGGAGGGGAGAGAGAUUGGACUCAGCUCUGAACCAACAAGAACAAAUGAGGAUUUUUACCCAAGAAACAGAGCGGGGGUGUUAUCAGCACAUGGAAAAUUCCUAAGAAGAGACAUCAGGACAACAACUCGCCCACGGACUGGUUCUUACUUUUGUACCCCGGGCUUUUCCUUGGAAAUGUUCCUAAAUCUGUGCAGUCAUCGCCAGACAACUCAACAAACAACACUUGGAGAUACAGAUGAGCCGCGCCUCCUGUGAAGCGCUCCUCAAGGCCGCAGGAAGACCUGGGUUUUUCUUGUCAUCUGACUUCAGUAUGGACAGUCUCAGCUGCAUGGUCAAAGCCACACAGGGGCCACCAAUGAAGCCAGAGAUAAUUACAGAAGAUUUGGACUUCUGAAGGUGGAUCAGAUCCAGUUCACCUGGUAGGAACCAUAGUCCUGCAGUAUUUGACUUCAGAGGCUAUCUUAGGAAGCUGGGUGGAAAAGGAAGUUUGAAGUAGGAGGGCUGUUUUCCACAUGGGAACUCUUGGAGAAAGAGCUAAGGUUUUGAUUUUGAAGCA